AUAAAAAGGACAAAACAAAUGGUAUGAUACGUUUUUCAUUUUCAUGUUUGAGAUGUUGUUGUGGUUGUGUACCGUAUUUUCCUUUUUAGUUUCUCUUCUUCUUACCUU
rnacentral:ribozyme from 14 species